UCCCUCGUCGUCUAUCUGGGAGGACGCGGCGCUCUGAACGCCGAAAGCUUGGUUCGAAUCCAGGCGAGGGAGC
rnacentral:tRNA from 1 species